CAGCACUGACGCAGAUUCAGUACUCAAUUGUUGUUCCACCACGGCGUACGUGAACGCGGACGAAAUCCGUAGAGUCAAAAGCAAUCAGAAAUCCCAUUUCAAUCGCAGCGUUCAGUGGCCCCCCACGUAAAAGUCAACGGUUUCAAAGUCCUUCGUCAAACGCAUACGCCCAGUGUACUCGAAGUAGAAAGUGUCAUAAAGUAUGCGAUUAUCCUGUAAACAAAGUGUAAAACGCGCCCAGUAAACGCCGAAAACGAAAGGCAAACAGCAAACAGCAAACAACUCCCGGAUUUUACGACUUGAGCAAUCAACUCGCUUGGUCACUCCACCAACUUGAGGACUCGUAGGACUGCAGGAGUGCAGGACUCUUGCAAUUGGCCAGUACAAAACUAUAGAAUCGGAUCUGGGCACGUCGUAUAAUGAUUGCGCAAGUGAGAUGACGCCACUGAAGGUGAGAAGGAUACGUUAGGAGCGGCGUCGAACUAUGGGAACAGAGGCAUGGGCGUGUGCGCGGACCUCGGGUCUCAUCGAUGGUGUCGGGCAUUGAGCACCCAGCACAAAACCGAGAAAUCGAAGGAGCAGCAGCUACAGCAGCAGCAGCAGCAGCAAUCCCAAUCCCCGGAGAGCCCAGAGGAGCGUGCUUCCAGGUGUCGAGGAGCCAUUGACAGGACAACGACAACGACGAUUCCCGCUAGCAAAACGCUGACGGCAUCGCCAGCGAAAACGGCAGCAUUCACAGUGAAAACGACGAGGAGAAGACGAAGCCGACGAAGGGCAGAAGGCAGCUCCAUCUGCGUACCCAUCCCGCGGCGGGGUCAGGGGUCAACGCCAACGUUACAGGUGCUCCAGUUCGUUUUGGUCUCGUUGCUGGCCCUUCUAGCGAAACAUGCCCAGGCGCACAAUAUUCCAGAAGACGCCGUGCACAUCACGGCCAUCCUUGGCGAGGGCGUCAUCUUUAACUGCCAUGUGGAGUUCCCCAACGACCAUCCCGUGCCAUAUGUCCUGCAGUGGGACAAGAAGGUGAGCGAAACGGGCUCCGAUCUGCCCAUCUACAUCUGGUAUGAGAGCUAUCCGGAGCACAUCGAGGAGGGCUACAAGGGACGCGUGUCCCGCGUGUCGCAGGACUCGCCCUUCGGCUCCGCCUCGCUCAACCUGACCAACAUCCGGGAAUCGGACCAAGGAUGGUACGAGUGCAAGGUCGUCUUCCUCAAUCGGGACCCCAAGCAGCAUAAGAACGGUACAUGGUUCCACUUAGACGUACAUGCACCGCCGCGCUUUAGUGUUACGCCAGAGGAUAUUAUAUACGUUAACUUAGGUGAUUCAAUUAUACUCAAUUGCCAGGCAGAUGGCACGCCCACGCCGGAAAUACUCUGGUACAAGGAUGCCAAUCCCGUCGAUCCCUCGCCCACGGUGGGCAUCUUCAACGACGGCACCGAGCUGCGGAUCUCCACCAUUCGGCACGAGGACAUCGGAGAGUACACUUGCAUUGCACGCAAUGGUGAGGGACAAGUCUCCCAUACGGCCCGUGUUAUAAUCGCGGGCGGCGCUGUAAUCAUGGUGCCUCCGACCAACCAAACGAAGCUCGAGGGCGAAAAAGUGAUAUUCUCCUGCGAGGCUAAGGCCAUGCCCGGCAACGUCACGGUGCGCUGGUAUCGCGAGGGCUCCCCCGUCCGGGAAGUGGCCGCUCUGGAGACCAGGGUCACCAUCCGCAAGGACGGCUCGCUCAUCAUCAAUCCCAUCAAGCCGGACGACUCGGGCCAGUACCUCUGCGAGGUGACCAACGGCAUCGGCGAUCCGCAGAGCGCCUCCGCCUACCUCAGCGUCGAAUAUCCCGCCAAGGUCACCUUCACGCCCACGGUGCAGUACCUGCCGUUCCGGCUAGCCGGCGUCGUCCAGUGCUACAUCAAGUCGAGCCCGCAGCUGCAGUACGUCACCUGGACGAAGGACAAGCGCCUGCUGGAGCCGUACCAGAUGAAGGACAUCGUGGUGAUGGCCAACGGAUCGCUGCUGUUCACGCGGGUGAACGAGGAGCACCAGGGCCAGUACUCCUGCACGCCGUACAAUGCACAGGGCACGGCCGGUGCUUCCGGGAUCAUGGACGUGCUCGUCCGGAAGCCGCCCGCCUUCACCGUAGAGCCGGAGACGCUCUACCAGCGCAAGGUGGGCGACAGCGUGGAGAUGCACUGCGACGCCCUGGAGGCGGAGGGCACGGAGCGACCCACCAUCAAGUGGCAGCGUCAGGAGGGCGAGCAGCUGACCGAGUCGCAGCGCAAUCGCAUCAAGAUCUCCGGCGGCAAUAUCACCAUAGAGAACCUGAGGAGGGAGGACUUCGGCUACUAUCAGUGCGUAGUCUCCAACGAAGUGGCCACCCUGAUGGCCGUCACCCAGCUGGUGAUCGAGGGCACCCAGCCGCAUGCGCCGUACAACAUCACGGGCAAGGCCACCGAGUCCUCGAUAACGCUGCAAUGGCUGCCAGGAUACAGUGGUGGGUCGGAGUACAAGCAGGACUAUACGAUCUGGUUCCGGGAGGCGGGCGUCAACGAUUGGCAAACGAUCUCUGUAACGCCAUCGGGCAGCACCCAGGUGACCAUCAAUGGCCUGGCCUCCGGAACCACCUACGAGUUCCAGGUGGUGGGCCGGAAUGUCCUGGGCGACGGGAUGAUGAGCAAAGUGAUGACCGUGCGCACACUGGAAGACGCUCCGGCAGCGCCACGUAAUGUCAAGGCUGCAACACAACCGCCCGACUCAUUCUUUCAGCUAAUGCCAGACGAAGCUGGUCCCAAACCAGGACCACCGAGGAACGUGUCCGUGACGGAGGUCUCGAAUGGAUUCCUCAUCACGUGGCAGUCGCCGCUGGAGCGGGCGCACAUCGUCAAGUUCUACACCAUCAAGUACCGGACGGAUGCGCAGUGGAAGACACUCAACCGGGGACAAAUCCGGCCGGAGGAGACGCAGUAUCUGGUGAAGAACCUGGUGGGCGGAAGGACCUACUACUUCCGGGUGCUGGCCAACUCGGAGAAGUCGUACGAGUCCAGCGACGAGGUGAAGUUCCCUGUGCCGGCACGUGUCAAGCACAAGGCGAUUACCGCCGGCGUCGUUGGGGGCAUCCUGUUUUUUAUUGUUGCGAUCAUUUUAUCGGUUUGUGCCGUAAAAAUUUGCAAUAAACGUAAACGACGAAAACAGGAAAAAGGUAACACUGAGGCUAAAGCUAACACACACACUUGAAAUGGUUUUUGAUGACAAUCACAACUUGAUAAUGCUAAUGAUAAUGCUAACGAUAUAGAUGUACCGAUACCGAUCCGUGCGAUACUAAUAUUCUUAAUAAUCGUAACAGUAAUCGUAAUAAUCGAUGACGAUGUUCUUGUUGUUGGCGAACUCGAACCCGAAACCGAACCGAAACCGAAACCAUUAUCGUUAUACAUACGAAUAUAUAAUACUAACAUACUAACUAACUAACUAACUAACAGCCACUAAUUAUUGAUUAUGUACGUACAUUUCGAGUUUCCGACGGCAGAGGCCAUCCAAUUAUCGAUAACUUUGAACCGAUUACCGAUAAUCGUUAUUUGCUAUGCUUUAUGAGUUUUGCUUGGGCCAUGGCAGCCCCUUUAAGAUAGCCACUUCCGUUUCCCGUUCAGUUUGGAAAGAUUGGUUUGUUCGGCAACAACAGCACAUUGGAAUUUGCAUACGAAAUCGUUUGUUUGCCCAAAGUAAAAUAUUUGACAAAAUUUCUGAGCCGCUGAGGCAUUUGAUAUGAAAUUCUCCAUAAAUUAUGCCUGUCUGAGAAAUCUGUAUGAUUUGUACGUUUUCGUUGUAGUUGUGCAAGUAAAAUUGAGUUACAAUUUGGCAAAAGUUGCUGAAAAAUCUCUGUAUAUAUAUAUUUACAUACUAAUUGGAUUUUGGUUCGCUUUUCCUUAUUUCGUUAUCCUUAUUUUCUGAAUUCUCAAUUCUGUAUUCUAAUUCUUGAUUUCAUUAGCUCUGAGUUUCUCGUUAUCCGGGCCCAAAUACCCCCCCCUGGUCCCAUCUAUCCAUUUCCGUAGACAAAAGUGACUUCCCCCCCAGAUCUUAGUUGAAAAUUGGCCACCAGACCUCGCCCCCUGAAAUUAUCAGUUUUGUUUGCAUUCCAUUACUUAAGCCUUCUGUUCGUAUCAUUGGGCCCAUAUGCGUAUUAUUUCUGUAAACUCAAUCUGGCUUCAUAGCGCUUUGCAGCCUGUUUGUUUUUUGAAUUCAUCGCAUGAACAUAUUACUAGUUGUUGCCACUUUAGUUAAGCAUUAAGCCAAGAUGCCAAACGCAAUCGAUUAAGCUCUGUCCCCGCCUUUUUCCCGGGGAAAACCCCUUUCGCAAACCAGUAUGAAUUUCCCGGCCCAAGUUACCAGAGAGCGGAAAUUGAAAAUGCCAGGUCCAGAGGACAUCCAGUAUAGCCAGGACAUCCAUUAUUUGACGCCCGCUGGCUUUAAUGCAAUCGAAUCAAACCCGGACCGAAUAAUAAUAACCAGCCCAAGCCAAACCGAAACAAAACCGACCAUAUCGAACCUCUGUCUCUGCUUUUUGUUAUGGUUUUUGCUUUAAACUGUAUUUUAAGUGGAUUAAUUAAUGUUGCGUUGUUUAAAUCAAUUAUUUAUGUAUACUUUCCGAGACCCCCCCUUCCCCCACACACUUACACAACACGGAAAAAAAUAAUGAAGAAGAAACAUACAAUGAGCAGGGAAAUUGCGAAUUUUUAAAUCAAUGCAGCCCAUUAGCUGUGAAAUAUGAUGAACGUAUUCUAUACAGAACACAUUGUUCUCAAUUUUAUCCUCAAUUUUUUUUUUUUUGUCAUGCUGUGGUAAACACAUUACGAUAGAUUAACGUAAAUGCGGUAAUAAUAUAUGUAAAUGUGACAAGCCGAUAACGCUGAUGGUAGAAAUGCCUUUAUCUACAAACCAUUUACAAGCAUGUUCUUGGCCAAAUCGUCGUUGUUUCUGCCCAGGGCUGAGUUCAUGACAGAUAAAGGCAUUUUCAGCACUGAGCAUAGACCUACAUCAUCUAUAUACAUGGCGAUUGACCAUUUAUAUAGCGCAAUACUGGGCAGACGUUUUUUGUAAACAAUUCACGCACAAAGAUGGUAAAAUAAGCCCCACAAACCAAGUCGAUGAUAGAGCAUUCGAAACUAGAAAACCGAAUCCGAAACAUAAAAUGAUCGCGUCGCCAAUUGAUCGGUUAUAUCCGGUUCAUAUUCGCCCUUGUCCGCCCAACUUUCGGGACCUCAAACAGGUGGUUCUGACUCCCUGAUUUUAACUAUACGAGUAUAUAUAUAUAUUUUGGGGUCCGAGUUGGGCAGUCAAAGGGCGGAGCGACCGGGCCAAGUAAAAUAUAUGAGUAAUGCGCAUAGUAAGACCCCCUAAAAAACCCCAACAUCGAUGCAAGCAAGGGUAAGUUUUUGCAAUCAUUUUAAGUCGAUGUCGUGUACCACAGAUCCUGAGUACUGACAACUAAAGGUUAUUUUCAGACGAGUUCCCACCACCACCACCACCACCCCAACCAACCAACCAACCAACCAACCAACAAAACAACCAACCAACCAACUAACCAACCAAUCAAGAACCAACAACCAACUAACCAACUAACCAACACUGACAUCACCACAACCAUCGAUUAAGCAUCUGCAAUCCACUAACAAUCCGCAAUGCUUGGGUCUCAAGUUGUCAGUGCCUCUCUUCUCGGGCAGAUCGUUCAGAUACUGCUGCACUUUCUCGCAUAUAUAUAUUUAUAUAUAUUUCUCAAGCACCCCACACAUUCCAGAGCUCACAGAUUUCAUAAUUACCCAAAAAGCAAAAAAAUAAAAACACAAGCACUGCCAAGCAAAACAUGAGAAAAAGGCCAAACAAAAACACAACUUCUCGAACACUUUUCGGUUUUUUGUGUGAAUCACUUGUACUUGGGCAAAAGUUUUUUUUGUCGCUUAUCCUCAGUUUGUUUUUGCAUCCCCAUUAUUCCCCCAUAUAAUCAGCAAUAUUUGGUUUUCGAUUUGCAUUAAAGUUCAGUUCUAGUAUCGCUCUCUCUAUCUCUUUUCCGUUGGCACAAUUCGUAACUUGACCAUUUAAAAGCCAUUUCACGUGUCAUUGUUUUUUUCCCAACCAUUCGAAGCCAGAUCCUAAAUAAAAUACUGCGAAGAGCACACGGCUGUGUAUACAUGCACCUCGUUGGGUGUGUAUAUGCUAUAUGUUGUUUGCUGUGAGGCCAAGUUUUCGCAUAUAGCCGUAUAUGUAUGUGGGGGUUCCCCUUCGACUUAUUCGAUUUAGUUUGUCAUCAGCCGUCAAUCGCAACUGGCCGGAGGAGCAUUAGGUUUCGAUUUAGUUGGCAUUGUUAUUCCACGACCCCGUAGUCGCCGUUCAAUUACCCAAACUCCGCGAAAUUGGCCCACUGGUUCACUAAUUGACGCCUCCUCCUGCUCCACACAUGUAAUUGCAAUGUAACCCCAAUCGAAUGAAACUAACCAACAACAUAGUUUAGUCGUAGUCAUCUAACUGCUAACUGCUAACUGGUAAAUGGUAAAUAGCAACUGUUAUCUGCUAACUGGCGGGUGUUUAGUAACCCAGUAACUGCUAAAAUUUAAACAAUCUAAACUUAUUAGCCACGACAACUGAAACAACAAGAGUGUGUAAUCUGACGAUGCUGGCAUGCAAAUGGGCUUAAUCAACGUGACCAGGUGCACAGAGAGAAAGAGUCGUGUCAAAUUCGCUAAUAACAAAUUAAACAAAUUAAAAGAGUUAAAUCUCUAGCUGUUUUUAAACUAUUUGUAAAGGUUUUCAAAUGCAGACAGUACUAUAUUUUGUAUGUGAAAUGGUGAAGAUACAAAGAUACAGCAUUUUAUUGCAUACUUUUGGACGCAGUUAUUAGUGAUUUUCAAAACAUGGUGAUUUCUGUGGCACCCGACGUGUUGCAAUCAUGCCAUUUCAUACAUAUUAACCCAAAAUCCCAGUUCCAACCAUGUGAAAGACCUUUCUCUCUGCAGGACCUUAAUUACGCCACGUCCCCGACAAAAUGCAAAUAAACAUAGGCGUUAUGCCAGUCUGUCCUCGAUUUAAGCAGAGUUUCGAAAAGAGCGUAAUCGCAUUUAUAUACGUCUAUAUGUAGAGAGCACCGUAGUAGAUAUAUGCAUAUGCAUAGACAUAGAGAUAUAACCCGUGAACGUCGUGUGUGUAUAUAGAGUGUGUGUGCUUGGUAGCUAUACGUACGGUGUACGGGUAUUUUAUUUACCGGAUUGGACGGCUCACGCUGCACGCCAAAUUAAUUUUAGAAAUUAUACGUUUGCAGAGUUCAACAUGGUAGCUUGCAGGAUAACGGACGCUCGUAACAUUGCCGCCAAUAAUCAUCAUUUGCACAAUCGCAGUACGGGCUCAAUUUCCUCUGGUCAAGUGCCUUUAAAAAAUUCCAGGUCCAUCCUGUCAUAAUCAAAAUCGUA